rnacentral:rRNA from 1 species
AUUGAACGCUGGCGGAAUGCUUAACACAUGCAAGUCGAACGGCAGCACGGGGGCAGCCCUGGUAGCGAGUGGCGAACGGGUGAGUAAUACAUCGGAACGUGCCCGGUCGUGGGGGAUAACGUAGCGAAAGUGACGCUAAUACCGCAUACGAUCUGAGGAUGAAAGCGGGGGACCUUCGGGCCUCGCGCGAUCGGAGCGGCCGAUGUCAGAUUAGGUAGUUGGUGGGGUAAAGGCCUACCAAGCCGACGAUCUGUAGCUGGUCUGAGAGGACGACCAGCCACACUGGGACUGAGACACGGCCCAGACUCCUACGGGAGGCAGCAGUGGGGAAUAUUGGACAAUGGGCGAAAGCCUGAUCCAGCCAUUCCGCGUGAAGGAAGAAGGCCUUCGGGUUGUAAAGUGCUUUUGUACGGAAGGAAAAGGAUCUGGCUAAUACCUGGGGAUCAUGACGGUACCGUAAGAAUAAGCACCGGCUAACUACGUG